GGGGUGACAGCUGACAUAGUGAGGGAAGGGGUGAAUAGUGGCAGAGUGAGGGAAGGAAGGGGUGACUAGUGACAGAGUGAAGGAGGUGGUGACUGUCACUAGUCACCCCAUCCCUCCCUCUGUCACUAAUCACUACCUCCCUCACUCUGUCACUAGUCACCCCAUCCCUCCCUCUGUCACUAAUCACCACCACCCUCUCUCUGUCACUAGUCAACCCCUCCCUCUCUCUGUCAUUAGUCACACCC
rnacentral:sRNA from 1 species